rnacentral:sRNA from 2 species
CAUAUAGUUUUAUAGGGUUCCGCAGUUUAAUUUAAACAACUGGUCUGGUCCGAGAUAAAACGCACAGUUUAAUGUGUUCACGGAAGGAUAAAAGCCUGGGAGAU